CUCACAGAGAGUGACAGUCACAGAGUGGCUCCAGGAGUCCCACCCACUUGCUCUUCCCCCGGGCAGCCGGUCAAGGAGGGCUCGUGUGGGGCAGGAGCCGCUGUCGUCUUGAGCACCGCCCUGGGGCUGUGCACAAGGUCCAGGACUCUCCAAGUCUUGAGGAGGGGCGGGGUCCUGGUUUACAGAGGCAGAAGCGGGCUCAGAGAGGCAAGUUAAGUUGCUCAAGAUCACACAGGGAGAAACAGAUGGAGCCAGGCCUGGACCUUGAGCCUGUACCCCAGUCUGCCCAGCCGCUGUCCCCUCUACUCCUGAAAGCCAACCAGCCGCGCGGCCUGUCGGGGAGCGAGGCUAACGGGCAAAGGAAACUAUGUGCGCAAGGGCCUGGAGGCCGGGAGCAGAGGCCGAAGCUUCCACGGCUUCUGUGUGGAGCACGUUUGGGGAAGACCCUCCAUCCCUCCUGUGUGCACCCCGUCCAGCCAGACCAGCAGCGCAGGCCCCCCGCAGCCAUCCUGGGAGCUCCAAGCACUGUGGGCCGUUGGGGCCCAAUCCCUGCCCAUGACCGCCUCAGUCUUCCAGCUGCACUUUGAUGCCUGGCCGGAAGGCAGAGCUCAGUGAGCUGGUGCUGCUGGGAAGCCGACUGACACAGGGUGUGGAUGCCCUGCGCACAGUGGGUGCUCCCGGUAAUGGCGCAGUGGCUCAAGAUGCCAGGGUCCCCUUGCUCCCAGGGCUGCCCCUCUCCCCACUCAUUCUGGCCCCUCCUGUGGGAGCUGGGAUGGGGCCUUGACUGAGGACAUGCCCACUUUCUCCAGAGCAAAGGAUUCGCCAAAACAGAGGUGACCAAAUGGACAGUUAUUUACUGCGCGGUGUCAGGAGUCAGGCCUGGGGCAAGAGCUUUGAGGAGAAAGGUUCCUGCCUCCGGAAUCAGGCCUGGUGGAGCUGGUGUCCCCAGCCAGGGUGGCAGGGUCCUCCCUGGGAGCGCCUUCGUUCCCUCUUCUGCAGGUGAGCAGCCUGAGGCCAGAGGGCGGUGGGAACCUGCACCGCUCGGCCCUUGUCCUCGCCGGCGAAGGAUGGAGGACUGGGAUCCAUGCGGAACACAGAGAGACCUCCAACACGCUUCCACGCGAUGCUUGGAGUCCAGGCUAUGCAAACGCAGUGGCAGGACAUCCUUUCCCACCUCCCAGAUGGGAACCUGACUAAGAAGCCCUCUGCCCCUGUUGAAAACUCAUGAGGAGUCCUGUGAGCUCCUGCAUGGCUUUGGAAGUGCGGCAGCCGCCAGAGGCGUCAGCUCCAGCCUCUCCGGGGGCAAGGAUCCAGUGUGACCACCUGCCAUCAGGCGCUGGCCAGUCUCCUCACAGUGACCCCCAUCAAGAACCCAGGCCAGUCCCUGCUGCUGGAAGGGGGGUGUUUACCAGCAACAGUGGCUGACUACUGUCGGGCCUGCGCACGGCUGCCACCGCGCCGCCUGCCACCGAGGCUGCUCUGCUCACAAACCCACUGUGCAAACUGGAGUGGUCCCCGGGCAAGUCCGUCUUCCCCUGGUUGUUGCAUCUGUCCUCUGUGAGGGCUACACACACGCUCCGUCCACCCUGUAACUUAGUCCCCAGGCUUCCUUGUCUCAGGUUGUCUAUUGCUCUCUCAGGGCCGUGAGUAACCAGCCAAGCUAGUGACUCCCGCCCAGGCGGCUGUAGAGGCCCAGUCCUCAGGCUGCUUUCCCCUCCCUGCACAGCGAGUAAUGGGGUGUACCACCUCCAGAGCUGCCCCUGGGAGCCUCUCUCUUUACCACUCUCCUUUAGGGACGCACCUGAGGGGGCUGUAGGAUGGCAGAGGUCCAUGUUUGGUUGCAGACACAUCUGUGAACCAGGCCUCAAUUUUUCCUGCUCCAUCCAUUGACCUUAGGAAACCCUUCCCUGAAGCUAUAGGUGGACAGAAGAAUAGGCGUGAGAACAAGAGAGGUGGGGAAUGCGAGGGUCUGGGCCCCUCGUCACGGACCUGUGCCACAGACCUGCUCGGGCCCCGUCCUGAGUGCCCCCUUCCAUGGCAGUGGAUCGCCGGUGGACCCGACCACCUUAUGACUCGGUGCCUCUGAUGACCGCCGGCUCCAGUCACGUGUUUAUGUCAUGUCCCAUCAGCAGACGCUCAGGCCCUGCAGGGCCCUGUGGCAUUCCAGACACUGCUCCUGGAACAGCAUGGCCUUGCCUCGGGACUCGCAGCAUCUGCACGUGCUAGCGGGGCUGGGCAGGGGCUCCGCCCGGGGCCUGCGCGCCGCCACCAGAGAGAGCUGCAUGUCGGGAGCCCCGAGGGGCAGCUUGACCACGGUCUCAACCUUCUGCAGAGACCUCUUUUGCCCCGGGCCCCACUCAGAGCUCACAUCAUGUGCCACAGGGGUCAGGGCGGUGUCCUCAAGUGUGACGUUUGCUGCAUCCCAGAUCCCAAGAGUCCCCUGAGAACUGGCCUCUUCCUUAGUGGUCAGCGGUGUGAGGGCAAGAGCUUGUCCUUUUCUCCAAAAAAGAUUUCCCAGCAUGCCCCAGACCUUGGGACCCCAGAUAUUGUCACUGCUGGGGCCAGCCUCACGUGCCUCGUGAGGAUAACAGGGUGCUUGCUCAAGCUGCCCCAGGUCCAGUUAGCGUGACGUCAUCAAUGGGCUGGACUGCCAUGACAUUCGGUGGCACGUGGAGACUCAGCAGUUCCGUCAGGGGCAUGUCAUGCUUUUUUCUCUGCAAUCAAACCCAAGUGAAACUCAGGGCAACCCUCUGCCGCUGUUAAGCUGCCGACAUAAUGCGGUCUGUUUCUGCGCCACUGGCCCCCCGUGUUCCCCAGCCUCUCUUGGGGUGUGUUCGUGUAGAUGACGAAUUAUGCUUCCUCCGAGGUUGAUGACGCUUAUUUUGGGUAAUGGGACUUGGGAGUGGUUACUUAAUUUUUCUUUUUAACUUUUCUAUCGUUUAAAUUUGUAAACUAAGUAUGUUAAUCAUCACAAAGGACAAACAUUUUUGGCACCUAUAUGAGAUGAUGGACGUUAACUAAACUGACUGUGGUAAUCAUUUGACGAUACAUGAAAGUCAAGCCAUUCUGCUGUGCAGCUUAAACUUAUACACUGCCAUAUGUCAAUUCUAUCUCAAUAAAACUGGAAAAAAUAAAAAUAAAAUUAUUCAAAGAAUGUUAAAUUUUUGUAAAACAACGUUGUGAGGGUCCAGAGAGCGCUGCUGAGUGCGCCGUGUGAGCCAUGAUGCUGCACCGGGUGCCUGGGUGGCACCAGUUCAGGCCACAGGGACCCUCUGG
ensembl:lncRNA